GGAAAACAUCUGCUAGAAUACUGCUUGAAAACAUACUGAAGGUGUGACGAGAACCUGGAAGUGCCCAAAAAGACGAGUAGUCAUGGCAGCUGGGACACCAUAAUCAUGAGAAACCAAAUCAUCUUCUGCAGAUGGAUAAGUAAUUGGAAGCUGGAAAAUGUAAUACAAAUAAACAGUAUUAUAUU